rnacentral:rRNA from 1 species
UACGUAGGGAGCAAGCGUUGUCCGGAUUUAUUGGGCGUAAAGAGCUCGUAGGCGGUUUAGAAAGUCAGGUGUGAAAACUCUGGGCUCAACCCAGAGACGCCACUUGAUACUUUUAUGACUUGAGUUCGGUAGGGGACCAUGGAAUUCCUGGUGUAGCGGUGAAAUGCGCAGAUAUCAGGAGGAACACCGAUGGCGAAGGCAGUGGUCUGGGCCGAUACUGACGCUGAGGAGCGAAAGCGUGGGGAGCGAACAGG